GACGAACGCUGGCGGCGUGCUUAACACAUGCAAGUCGAGCGGUAAGGCCCUUUCGGGGGUACACGAGCGGCGAACGGGUGAGUAACACGUGGGUGACCUGCCCUCAGCUCUGGGAUAAGCCUGGGAAACUGGGUCUAAUACUGGAUAUGACUCCACGGUGCAUGUCGUGGGGUGGAAAGCCUUGUGCGGCUGAGGAUGGGCCCGCGGCCUAUCAGCUUGUUGGUGGGGUGANGGCCUACCAAGGCGACGACGGGUAGCCGGCCUGAGAGGCGACCGGCCACACUGGGACUGAGACACGGCCCAGACUCCUACGGGAGGCAGCAGUGGGGAAUCUUGCGCAAUGGGCGAAAGCCUGACGCAGCGACGCCGCGUGAGGGAUGACGGCCUCGGUGUAAC
rnacentral:rRNA from 1 species